GGAGUGAUACCCAAGGGGUUUAAGGGACUGGUUUCGAAAACCAGCAGUGGAUGAAAGUCCAGCCAGAGUUCAAAUCUCUGUCACUCCG
rnacentral:tRNA from 1 species